UUUUCAUCAAAUCACGUGUACCCUCAAGGCCUCGCCAUCACCCCUCAAAGAGCAAAACUGAGUCUCAGUGCUUCGAUGAUUCAGAUUUCGGAGAUAUUGACAAAAUCCAUCCCAGUAGAGAAGCUAAGUUUGGUGUCAAAUGGAUUCAAUGGAGAUUUCAAUCAUCGAUAUUCCUCUUGGGGUCACAAUCUCAUGUCUCAUACUCUAGAAAUACAGAAACAAAGAAAUUUCAAGAUUGAACUACCAAAAGAAAAAUAGAAUGAACUAUUUCAACUACAUCAUCGGAAACAACGUCUCUAUCUCUCAAGGUUGUGGCAGGAUUAUCUUUAUCGUGAAGUCAGUUUGAGAAGAAAGUCAAUUUAUUUUGUCUUGGUAAUUCUGGGGCUAUUGUUUAAGACUUGGGGCACUAAACACUCAAGGUAUUAUCAUCAAUUAUUUUCUUAUUGAUAUUCUUUUCGUUUUGUUUUGAUCAACAAUGUCACUUUGAGUACGUUUUGCAUAUUUAUUAGUAUUUCAUUUUCAACUUCUGGCAUUUGGCUUGCUGGCUUACUGAUCUACUUUUUCUUUGAAUAAACAAGUAGCAA